CGUGGUGGCACGUGCCUGUAAUCCCAACUACUCAGAAGGCUGAGGUAGGAGAAUAGCUUGAACAUGUGAGGCAGAGGUUGCAGUGAGCUGAGAUCCCGCCACGGCACUCCAGCCUGGGACAGAGCUAGACUCCAUCUCAAAAAAAAAAAAAAAAAAAAAAAAUUUGUACAUCUGCUGCCCAGGCUGGUCUCGAACUCUUGGCCUCAAGGGAUCCUCCCACCUUGGCCUCCUAAGUAGUUAGGACUACAGUUGCUCGCCACCAUGCCCAGUGCCAUCAGUAAGCUAAGGCUUACACUUUUCUGAUCACAGCUACAGGGACAGCUGGUCUUACUGCCCAGGUUCCUCAUGGUCACCUCCUAUUUCCUAAUGUAAGUCAUCUCCUCACAACUACGGGCAAAGGGGCACUGCUUUUCUUCAACUCUACCAGGCCACAGACCCUCCCAGGAUGUGCUGGUGAUUUUGCUGCUGCCAUUAGUUCAGCUGUGGGGCAAAAGCAGCGCGGUGGAUGGUGGUCUCAGGGCAAACUCUGUAGACAUUAAUUCUAGAGAAAACCCUCUGGAAGGAUUAGCAUCUUAGCCAAGAAACUUUAACCCUCAGGUUGGAGCAUUUUCUAGUUGGCUCUUCUUGUGUUAGUGAGAGGAAUGAAAGAACGGAGGCAUUAGAGACCCACGGAUGGAGGCAAGCCAGCACCUCCAGUGUUCGGAGUAAACUCCUGAGGCACCAGGCCUGCCUCCCACAGAAAUCGAAAGAAAACCUAUCCUGCCUCUCACUGGGUCAUAAAUUACACAUCGUCCCCUUCCCUGAGCCUUCAGGGAACCGAAGCAUGUUCCACUCCUGCCACCGACCUUCCUCAUCUUUGGGACUCCUGUCUCGAUUUCUCACUGAUCACAAAAAAUGAUCUUCACAAAGUCUUCCUGCAUUGUUUCUCUGCCAUUUCUAUGAAGCUUCUGCAGACUUUGGGAGUUACUGUCUUAGCUAGAGAAUAAUAGUGGAUCAAAGAGGACAGACUAUACCCUCUAAGUGCCCCCACACCCAGGGCCACCCAUUGGCACUGCCUGAGGAGGUCCAGUCUCAAGGUGAGGAGAUGGACUAGGAGGGAAACUGGGCCCCCAUCAGUCAGCGCUUCUCAGACACUGACAUGCAACUAACAGGUAGGGUUCUUGACAUACAGGGCUCUUGCUACAAUGCAGAUACCGAUUUAGGAGAGGAGCCCAAGAUUCUGCAUUUCAAAUUUCCCAAGUGAUGUUGAUGCUGCCGGUCCACAGACCAGACUGCAUUUGCAUAGCAAGGAGCAAGACUGAGGGGAGGUGAAAAAAUAGAGGAAAAACAAGCUCCAUGAGAGGCGAUCUGAUGAUGCUCCAGAUCUAAAACCUCUUGUCUUCAAGGACUUCCCUGCAGGGCCUUUCACUUUUUCCAGAGGAUUGGAGCACACAGCCUUCCAGGCCCAGCCACAUGCUGGUAAAGGGCCAGGGGCCUGAGACCUCCUCACACCCUCCGUCAGCAGCUGUCAGGGAGAGGAGCCCUGCCUGGGCUGGCAAUCAACCCUCGCUCCUGCCGCUGGCUCUGGGGUGGUUCUGCCAUGGAACAGCAGGUUCAAGAUGGCAACAGGGUAACAGAUGGUCUCUCUUCCCUCCACCUCUGCCUCAUCCCAGGCUCUGCUCCCUGAAGCCAAAGCAGUGAUCCUCUUUACUUUCUCAAACAGCAGCUUACUUUGUGCCAGGCUGUGUGAACCACCAUCUGGAACUGUUUUUAUUUAAUCCUCACAAUCACCUUGUGAGGUAGGAAUUGUUCUAUCCCCACUUUAGAAGGAAACUGAGGCCCCAUCACUGAACUACAUACCUGUGAGGCCAGGAGCCUAUGGGACUGAAUCUAGGAGAGAAGCCUCAGGAUAGGAACUUAAUGAAAAAUCAAGGCAACUAAGGUGCAUUGAUUGGUAUAGGACCCUUCAAAGGUAAGCAGAAAGCCAGUGCUGUUACUGUCCUUCUACCAGGUUCCCUUACCAUACACCAGUGGCAGGAGGUUCUCCUGUGCCAGCUGGUACAGGUAGGUCAUGAACUGGGCUCCUUGGCCUGGGCAGAGGGUGCCAGGCAGAGGCAUGACUGACCAGGCAGCACCAACUGUGUGAAGAGCAGCUGGCCUGCUAGGCAGCUGGUGGAAGGCCAUUUAGGAGUCUGACGUAAAUGUAGGUAGGUACUUGCCUACCUAUCCAUACCUCAAAGGAACAUGGUGUCCUGGGAUGGAAAUGCACACGAUUCCAGCUCUUCAUUUGAUAAACCUAAGUGCCCACAAGCACUGUGCUAGGCUUUGUGGGAGGGUUUAAAACACAGUCUUUGCCCUUAGUGAGGAAAAUUAGCAUGCUGGAUAUAAAAGAGUGGUGGAAACUUUAGUGAACUGGAGAAUGCUACUCAGCUAAAACUUGUACUACCUUACUUUAGUUGGCUGGAGCCUCUCUGCAAUGAAGGACUACCUGAUUUUUCAAGUCCCAAAUCAAGAUCAUGUGAACAUUUCCCUUUUUAGAAACGAAAAGAACUUGGGGAUAGGUGGUCAGAAAAUAAAAUGGAACAAUUCAAAAAAUAAAUCCUCAAACGCAGGCCAACAUGUGGCUGCUAGUUUGCAACCUGUGCUCCUCAUUACCCCAGUCCUAUAUUUUCCUGUUGUACCUCCAGCACCUCACAAUUCCUGGCAGAACAGAAGUGCCUCUGGUAUGACCACGUGAAGCUCAACCAAGAGACCCACCAGAGUGGCAACGGAUCUGAAAUUUCCAUCAUAUGCAGAACAGCUGAAGCAACUGGAGAGGGUUUUUAGCCUUGGAAAUGACUAACAGGAGGCAUAAGAGUUGUUGCAAAUAAGAACAUCCUUUAAAAAAGUUAGGAUAUAUAGUCUGGUCAACACUUUGGAGUGGGGAGGAGGUUACUUUCAGGUAAAAUAUACAUCUGACAACUGACCACGGUUCCCCAACUACUUCUACUGUCCAUACCCACCUCCCCCAUUUCUUCACUGGCCCAGUACCUAAAAGCAUUUGGCUGUCAUAUCUGGUAAAGGGAAUUCAGGCUUUGCCUUAUAAUUUUUUUUUGUUUUAUUAUUUUUUUGAGACGGAGUCUCACUCUGUCACCAUCUGGAGUGCAGUGGUGUGAUCUAGGCUCAUUGCAACCUCCACCUCCCGGGUUCAAGUGAUUCUCCUGCCUCAGCCUCCUGAGUAGCUGGGAUAUAGGUGCCCGCCACCACACCCAGCUAAUUUUUGUAUUUUUAGGCCAGGCUGAUCUUGAACUCCUGACCUCAAGUGAUCCACCCACCUCGGCCUCCCAAGUGCUGGGAUUACAGGCGUGAGCCACCGUACCAGGCCCAGGCUUUAAUCCCAAAUAUCUCACCUACUUCCUACCUAAGAAUCUUAUCUAACUCAGGAUUUUUUUUUUUUUUUUUUUUUUUUUUGAGACGGAGUCUGGCUUUGUUGCCCAGGCUGGAGUGCAGUGGUGCGAUCUUGGCUCACCGCAACCUUAGCCUGCCGGGUUCAAGCAAUUCUCCUGCCUUAGCCUCCCAAGUAGCUGGGAUUACAGGCAUGUGUCACCACGCCCAACUAAUUUUGUAUUUUUAGUAGAGAUGGGGUUUCUCCAUGUUGGUCAGGACGGUCAAACUCCCAAACUCAGGUGAUCCGCCCGCCUCGGGCUCCCAAAGUGCGGGGAUUACAGGCAUGAGCCACUGUGCCCGGCUAACUCAGGAUUUUUCUAAGGAUUAAAAUGAGAUAUGUAAUGAAAGUAUUUGGCAGAAUAUCUGGCAAAGGGGUCAAGAAAUGUUCAACAUUAUUAUGGAGGUUUAGAUCUUUUCUCCCGUCCGAGUACUAACCAGGCCUGACCCGGAUUAGCUUCCAAGAUCAGAUGAGGUCGGGAGCAUUCAGGGUAGUAUGGCCGUAGAGGUUUAGGUCUUUUCUAUAAAACACCAAAUAAUACAACUAUGGUCAAAACACAGAAGUUGCAGGGAGUCUGAUUUUGGCUUCAUAAAUGAUACUUCUGUAACAAUGCCAGCUGGAAUGAGAUUACAAGUGUGAAUGUUCAAACAGAGCAGCAAAGGUCAUUCCUCAGGGGACUCUGGAGGAGAUUCCUACCCCAGGUAGGAAGUUGGUUGAUUUCUGCUCUGAUCCUAUGACUACUAAAUGCAUAGUAUGAAAAACUACACUUAUAAUGUGCAUUAACAAGAAUAUGACUGAUCUCCAUGGAUAUGGAAAGAUAUACAAAAUAGAAUUGGGGGGGGGAAAUUAUAGAACCAUACAAUGGGAGCCCAAGUUUUAAAAACCAGAUAUAUAUUUAUGUGCUUAGAGCAUUUCAGGAAGGGUAUAUUAAGAAAUUUAUUUGGAAAAUCUUGAGAGGUAAGCUGGAGUGAAUGUACACUCUCCACUCCAUGCCCAAAUGUUUACUUUUCACUUUAUACCCUUCUGUUUAUUUUUUUGACCAGCAGCAUCAACUUUUUAAAAAAGGACCAAAUAGGCCAGGCUCAGUAGCUCAUGCCUAUAAUCCCAACACUUUGGGAGGCAAAGGUGGGAAGAUCACUUGAGCCCAGGAAUUCAAGGCUGCAGUGAGAAAUGACUGUGCCACUGCACUCCAGCCUGGGCAGUAGAGCAAGACUCUGUCUCAAAAUAAAUAAAUAAAUAAAUAAAUAAAUAAAUAAAUAAAUAAAUCAAUCAAUCAAUAAUAAAUAAAAAAACCAAAUCAUUUGGUUGGCCAAAACCUUCUGAUCUGAGCUUUGCUCGGCAACCACUCUCCAAGAUAAAGCUUUAUGUAUCACCUCACAUAUUCACUGUCAAGGCUCAGGCACUCUAGAUUACUGGACUCCCCAGUCAACAUUCCCAUUACCAAAAGUCCCUAAUCUUGGAGGCUGCUUCAGGUCACCCUCUCUUUGUCCCUCACUUCCUGAGUUUUUUUUUUUUCCUCCAACUAUACUCACUCUACUGGUGAUCUCAAACAGCCCUCUAGCUUUUAAGAUACUGUCCAAAUGCUGACUCCCAAAUUUCUAUUUCCAUCCAAGACCCACUCUUAAACUCUAGACACACACAUGCAUCGCAACUGCCUCCUCAACAGCUCCACUUGGAUAUUGAGUAGACAUCUAAAACUUGCUCUUCCCACAGCCUUGCAACUCAGCUGAUGGCAUGUCCAGGCUUCCAGUUGCCCAAGUCCAUAACCUCAGAGUUAGGGAAAGUUGAGUGUGACCCACAAUGCCAGCUACCUAGAAACUAAGGUAGAUCUAGGUACUGGGAUUAAAGAUAUCAUAAAAUCAUUAAAAUGUUUUCUGAAAUGUUUGAAGUUAACUCAUUUUAUUUCUAGGAUUUGGAUUUCAACAUUUUAAUUUCUUUGGAAUAUAAGUCACUUUUUGCAAGCUAAAAAAUAGAAUCAAACUAAGGUGAUCUAGUCCUCUAGGCAUCCAGGCUGAUCCUUGGAAUCAUGAGCAGAAUGAUGACAUACUACAAGGGACAAAAUGAUGCAAAUUAUAUGCUG
rnacentral:lncRNA from 1 species